UUUUGAAUUCUUGAUCAACACUGCUACCAAACAAGUCCUUGACCAGCAGAGGACUUGCCCAGACUUUUACCUAAUUAUUUCGGACCCAUUAAUGUUAAAGAAUUAAUAUAUCUGAAAUAGAAAAGCAAGAAAAGAAAGCCAGCAGAAAGCUUAACAUGCUGGCAUAUUUUUGGGUUUGGUCUUUCUUUUUCUGACAUUUAAUGGAAUCUUGGGUUUCGAAGGUUUUGGGUUCAUCGGCC
rnacentral:lncRNA from 1 species